rnacentral:rRNA from 1 species
CCUACGGGAGGCAGCAGUGAGGAAUAUUGGUCAAUGGGCGCGAGCCUGAACCAGCCAAGUCGCGUGAGGGAUGACGGCCCUACGGGUUGUAAACCUCUUUUGCCGGGGAGCAACGGGCGGCACGUGUGGCGCCACUGAGAGUACCCGGAGAAAAAGCAUGGGCUAACUCGUGGCCGGCAGCCGCGGUAAUACGGGGGAUGGGAGGUUUAUCCGGAUUUUUUGGGUUUAAAGGGUGCGUAGGCGGAUCGUUAAGGUAGUGGUAAAGUUGGGGGGCUCACCCCCGUACCGCCAUUGAAACUGGCGUUCUUGAGUGGAAGAGAAGUAUGCGGAAUGCGUGGUGUAGCGGUGAAAUGCAUAGAUAUCACGCAGAACCCCGAUUGCGAAGGCAGCAUGCCGGCUUCCGACUGACGCUGAAGCACGAAAGCGUGGGGAUCGAACAGGAUUAGAUACCCUUGUAGUC